CUUGACUAGAGCAAUCCAAGUAAAACUACUGCACAGCAGGAAUCCUGGAUCUCUGUGAAUAGAUGGAAGUGAAAUUUAAAGAUAUCAUCCAAAUAGAAGAGGAAGCCCUCUGCCAGAAAACAUCUCUUCUGCACCUGGUUGUGGAUGAUGACUAGAUCACCUCCCAGCUCUCUCCUGACUAAACUAAAGACACUUCAAGCCUUCAGCACCCCCCG